rnacentral:rRNA from 1 species
GACGAACGCUGGCGGCGUGCUUAACACACGCAAGUCGAGCGAUGAAGUUUCUUCGGAAAUGGAUUAGCGGCGAACGGGUGAGGAACACGUGAAGAAUCUGCCCUCCACUUUGGGAUAACACAGGGAAACCUGGGAUAAUACCGAAUAUUGAAACAUAAGUGGCAUAACUGAGUAUUGAAAGAACUUCGGUGGAGGAUGACUUCUCGGCCUAUCAGCUAGUUGGUGAGGCAAUGGCUCACCAAGGCAACGACGGGUAGCCGGCAUGAGAGGGCGACCGGCCACACUGGGACUGAGACACGGACCAGACUCCUACGGGAGGCAGCAGUGGGUAAUAUUGGGCAAUGAAGGAAACUCUGACCCAGCGACGCCGCGUGCGGGAUGAAGGCCUUCGGGUUGUAAACCGCUUUCAGUAGGGAAUAAGCGAAAGUGACGGUACCUACAAAAGAAGCACCGGCUAACUAUGUGCCAGCCGCCGCCGUAA